UGCUCUGAUGAUACCACUUAUUAGGAAGUGCCAUCAGAAGCGAUAGAUAACUACUCCUGGCUGACC
rfam:Cavia porcellus supercont2_61 genomic scaffold, whole genome shotgun sequence.